AGUGAAUAGAUACCCGGGUAGUCCCAGCUGUAAACGAUGCGCGUUAGGUGUAUCGGUGACCACGAGUCACCGAGGUGCCGAAAGGGAAACCGUGAAACGUGCCGCCUGGGAAGUACGGUCGCAAGGCUGAAACUUAAAGGAAUUGGCGGGGGAGGCACCACAACAGGUGGAGCCUGCGGUUUAAAUCGGACUCAACGCCGGGAAGCUCACCGGAUAAGACAGCUGAAUGAUAGCCGGGUUGAAGACUCUGCUUGACUAGCUGAGAGGAGGUGCAUGGCCGUCGUCAGUUCGUACUGUGAAGCAUCCUGUUAAGUCAGGCAACGAGCGAGACCCACGCCAACAGUUGCCAGCAUGUCCUCCGGGAUGGUGGGGACACUGUUGGGACCGCCUCUGCUAAAGAGGAGGAAGGAAUGGGCAACGGUAGGUCAGCAUGCCCCGAAUUAUCCGGGCUACACGCGGGCUACAAUGGUCAGGACAAUGGGUAUCAACACCGAAAGGUGAAGGCAAUCUCCUAAA
rnacentral:rRNA from 1 species